ensembl:snRNA U6 U6 spliceosomal RNA
GUGCCUGCUUUGGCAGCACAUACACUAAAAUUGGAACGAUACAGAGAUUAGCAUGGCCCCUGCGCAAGGAUGACGUGCAAAUUCUUGAAGCGUUCCAUAUUUUU